CGCGGUAUGACUGGUGUGUACCACCAGUUUUUCUCCUUUCUUGAGAGUGAUGGAGUCAUUGACUGUACCAAUGAGCUACACAUCUGCGCAUUGCAUUAUG